rnacentral:lncRNA from 1 species
GGCAGGGACAAGGGUCAGGAGCAAGGGCAGAGUGCUUUCUUUGUUACUAAAGGGAAUGACUGUGUCUUCUGCAGAUGGAUUUGCCAUCGUGUUUCUUACAAGGACUAACAGUGGGAUUAAAUGUGCCCUGAAGAGGAUGUGCUUGCAAGUAGGCAAAAGAGAAAUGCAAAUUGUGUGAAUCUUCUGGGCAUGAUUUAUCAUCACCGUAGCUAACCUGCAUGGGAAAAGUUGGCAUUAGAUCUUACACCCAAACUUUUAACAAAGCUUUGACUUGCCAGAGUUUCCAUUGUCUCCACUUGUCUGGCACCUCCCUGAAAUGUAUGCCUGAUCUGG